GUGCUCUCUUUAGCAGCACACAUACUAAAAUAUGAACAAUACAGAAAAGAUUAGUAUAGUCCCUGCACAAGAGUGACACGUUAAAAAAAAAAAGACGAGUAUACCAAAUAGUU
ensembl:snRNA U6 U6 spliceosomal RNA